rnacentral:rRNA from 1 species
GGAGGCGCUCAAAGGUUCUCUCAGUACGGUCGGAAAUCGUACGUAGAGUGUAAAGGCAAAAGAGAGCUUGAUUGCAAGACAUACAGGUCGAGCAAGGAUGAAAAUCGGACUUAGUGAUCCGGUGGUUCUGCGUGGAAGGGCCAUCGCUCAACGGAUAAAAGCUACCCUGGGGAUAACAGGCUUAUCUCCCCCAAGAGUCCACAUCGACGGGGAGGUUUGGCACCUCGAUGUCGGCUCAUCACAUCCUGGGGCUGUAGUAGGUCCCAAGGGUUGGGCUGUUCGCCCAUUAAAGUGGUACGCGAGCUGGGUUCAGAACGUCGUGAGACAGUUCGGUCCCUAUCCGUCGCAGGCGUAGGAAAUUUGAGAAGACCUGUCCUUAGUACGAGAGGACCGGGAUGGACGUACCUCUGGUGUACCAGUUGUUCUGCCAAGGGCAUGGCUGGGUAGCUAUGUACGGAAUGGAUAAGCGCUGAAAGCAUCUAAGCGCGAAGCCAACUUCAAGAUAAGAUUUCCCACCGCAAGGGUAAGACCCCAGAAAGACUAUCUGGUUGAUAGGUCGAAGGUGUAAGUGCAGCAAUGUAUUUAGCUUAUCGAUACUAAUAGGUCGAGGACUUGACCAA